rnacentral:tRNA from 1 species
AAAGUUAUAGUCUAAUUUAUGAUUCAUGAUUUGCACUCAUGAGAUGUUUUACUAAACUAACUUUA